UCUCUCCCUCUCUCAUUCUCAUUCUCUCGUUUCCCUCAUUUUCUCUCUUUCUAGAAUUGGCCAGAAGUUUCACUGCACUUGUCGGAAAGCACUUUUCCACCAAAGUGCACUUCAUUCUCAAAUAAGAAGAAAUGGGCGGUGUUCGCGACAGUGAUGACGGAGGUGUAGCCAUCGAAGCUCUUCUGAAUCACUGCAUUCCAUCGCUACUCCAUCAAAUGGGCCAAAAUCUACUUCUGGUUGUAAUGUAAUUGUGCUUUUCUAUGUCUAUGUUGUACUGCCUAACUUCAUUGCCUAAAUAUUUCUCCAAUCCUCAUGUACUAUUUAACCGAAGAGAAAAUUUGGGAAAUAAAUUGACGCACGAUCCAUAAUCUCUGAAAAAAUCAGGUGUAAUUAUUGGAAAUUACCUAUGUGAUGGCUAUGGUGACAAAGCUAUCGUUGCCAUCAAUUGAUUGCCAUCAUGCCGUCGCCCAACCUUCGUUGUCGCCGUCAAAUUCUUGGGCAUUGUUUUGGGCUGUGGGAUCGAUUAGGUUAUGGGAGAAUUUUUGUUCAACCGUGUAGAUCUUCAGGUCUGAGGAGGAAAAUGGAGUGGGUGAGAAAGGGAAUAAUAGUGAAGAGAAUUUUGGGAAAAUUAAUGAAAGUGAUGUUGUGGAAGCUGAAAGAAAGUGUAAAUAAAUUUGUUGGAUAUGGUAGUAAUUGAUUUUUGGCAGAGGUAGUGGUUGGGGCUAUUUUUGUUGAAUUUGGUGGUGGUGGUUUUGGUUAUGGU
rnacentral:lncRNA from 1 species